CUUUGAUGAAAGUGCAUUAAAAUGUGCUGAAUCCACACAGGACUAAAGGGGAACUGUCACGUCUUGUGAUUUCUAAUACAGUGUCUACUUAUUUUUAUAGUUUACAAAUAUGUAAUUUUCUGUUGUUGAAAUGCUCACCUGUAUGCAUCUGAGCACCUCCAUCUAGGCUGCCUGAAAAUUAUUGUUACAAGCUCUGUCCUUUACUUUGUAGCAGGCAUUCAGAAUAGAGAAAGCAUGCAGAGAAUAGGAGAAAAUAAACAAUGUUACUGUUACUCCUCCUAGUAUGCAAUGUGGCCC